GUGGGGAGACGAGUGCCGUGGUUGGGAGCUGUUCAGCCCACUCCUGACCUCUUCUAGACCUAUGGCUUUCCUGUCCUGCAGCCAGAGCUGGAGGCCAGCACGGCCUUGCCAGAAGCAUCCAACUUUGAGACUUUGCAGGCUGCCAGAGCCCAGCCUUUGGGGGUUUCCGCAUGACCCUUCUCGGGAGACUUCUAGGAGGAUUUAUUCUCCUGGCAGUGCCGAGGGCAGCCUGCACCAAGCUCACAGUUCUUCCUCCAAGAGGAUAUUCAAAGGGCCUGUCAUUUCAGCAUCUGCCGGACAGCAGAACUUUGUGUGCAAGAUCCUGGAGCUGCGUUGGGUCUUGAAUCAGGGACAAUGGAAAUAAGUGGGAAGGUGUGAAGGGAGUCAGAGGGCUGUGCCAGCCGUCCCCCUUCCCACCUCCAGCAAUUCACUUAACUUUCCUGAGUCUCAGCUUUGUCAUUAUGAGAAUACAUAUAUUUAUAAAUAAUCAUCUGUUUCUCCAAUGUAAGAUAUUAUUGUUAUUGCAGAAGUGAUACUAGGGUCUCAUUAUACGAUGGCCUCAUGAUAUAGAUUUAUAGCAGGCUUCAGAUUCUGGCAUAGACUAAACAGAUACUUAUCCAAGGGUUCACUAACUCCCUAAUAAAUGCCAGGAACAUUCAUGUACA